rnacentral:lncRNA from 1 species
UAGGAAGAAAAGAAGAUACAAAAUCAACUUCAGAUUCUGAGAUUAUCUCUGUGAGUGAUACACAGAAUUAUGAGUGUUUACUUAGGCUACAUAUCAAAAAGAAAUAAAGACAACAAAUGGCAAAAUAGAAGAGUCUCCUGAAAAGCCUUCUCACUUUGAGCCUGCCACUGAAAUGCAAAACUCUGUUCCAAAUAAAGGCUUAGAAUGGAAGAAUAAACAAACAUUGAGAGCAGAUUCAACUACCCUAUCAAAAAUCUUGGAUGCAGUUCCUUCUUGUGAAAGAGGAAGGGAACUUAAAAAAGAUCACUGUGAACAAAUUACAGCAAAAAUGGAACAAACAAAAAAUAAGUUUUGUGUACUACAAAAGGAACUGUCAGAAGCAAAAGAAAUAAAAUCACAGUUAGAGAACCAAAAAGCUAAAUGGGAACAAGAGCUCUGCAGUGUGAGAUUGACUUUAAAUCAAGAAGAAGAGAAGAGAUGUCGAUAUAUUAAAAGAAAAAAUUAGACCUGAAGAGCAACUUAGGAAAAAGUUAGAAGUGAAACAACAACUUGAACAGGCUCUCAGAAUACAAGAUAUAGAAUUGAAAAGUGUAACAAGUAAUUUGAAUCAGGUUUCUCACACUCAUGAAAGUGAAAAUGAUCUCUUUCAUGAAAAUUGCAUGUUGAAAAAGGAAAUUGCCAUGCUAAAACUGGAAGUAGCCACACUGAAACGUCAACACCAGGUGAAGGAAAAUAAAUACUUUGAGGACAUUAAGAUUUUACAAGAAAAGAAUGCUGAACUUCAAAUGACCCUAAAACUGAAACAGAAAACAUUAACAAAAAGGGCAUCUCAGUAUAGAGAGCAGCUUAAAGUUCUGACAGCAGAGAACACGAUGCUGACUUCUAAAUUGAAGGAAAAACAAGACAAAGAAAUACUGGAGACAGAAAUUGAAUCACACCAUCCUAGACUGGCUUCUGCUUUACAAGACCAUGAUCAAAGUGUCACAUCAAGAAAAAACCAAGAACUUGCUUUCCACAGUGCAGGAGAUGCUCAUUUGCAAGGAAUAAUGAAUGUUGAUGUGAGUAAUACAAUAUAUAACAAUGAGGUGCUCCAUCAACCACUUUAUGAAGCUCAAAGGAAAUCCAAAAGCCCAAAAAUUAAUCUCAAUUAUGCAGGAGAUGAUCUAAGAGAAAAUGCAUUGGUUUCGGAACAUGCACAAAGAGACCGAUGUGAAACACAGUGUCAAAUGAAGAAAGCUGAACACAUGUAUCAAAAUGAACAAGAUAAUGUGGACAAACACACUGAACAGCAGGAGUCUCUGGAGCAGAAAUUAUUUAAACUAGAAAGCAAAAAUAGGUGGCUUCGACAGCAAUUAGUUUAUGCACAUAAGAAAGUUAACAAAAGCAAGGUAACAAUUAAUAUUCAGUUUCCUGAGACGAAAAUGCAACGUCAUCUAAAAGAGAAAAAUGAGGAGGUAUUCAAUUAUGGUAACCAUUUAAAAGAAUGUAUAGAUCAAUAUGAAAAAGAGAAAGCAGAAAGAGAAGUAAGUAUCAAAAAAUAUAAAUACUUUUCAACCUUCCUGAAAGAAAAUGGCCUUGGCUAAAUGCUGAAUCUAGUUGAAUAUAUAUAUAUA